rnacentral:lncRNA from 1 species
CCCAUCUCCCCCUCCCCCUUCCCCAUCUUCUCCUCCUCCUUCCCCAUCACAACCUCCUCCAUCUCCACCUCCUCCUUCCCCAUCACCACCCCCUCCUUCUCCAUCUCCACCCCCUCCAUCACCAUCUCCACCACCACCUCCAGUUGUGUCCCCACCGCCUCCUCCAGUUAUAUCACCACCCCCUCCUCCUCCUUACAUUUCUCCCGCUCCUCAGCCAGACACUGAAUGCCCAGAGGGUUACGAACCAGGGAAGAAGUCCGGU